AAGGAGCGGUAGGGGAGAGGUAAAGGAGAGGAGAGGUAAUGGAGAGGUAGCGGAGAGGUAAAGGAGAGGAGAGGUAAAAGAGAGGUAGGGUAGAGUUCAAGGAGAGAUAAAGGAGAGGAGAGGUAAAGGAGAGGUAGGGUAGAGUUCAAGGAGAGGUAAAGGAGAGGAGAGGUAAUGGAGAGGUAGGGGAGAGGUAAAGGAGAGGUAAAGGAGAGGAGAGGUAAAAGAGAGGUAGGGGAGAGGUAGGGGAGAGGUAAAGGAGAGGUAAAGGAGAGGAGGGGUAAAGGAGAAGUGAGGUAAAG
ensembl:lncRNA